CCCGCACAAGCAGCGGAGCGUGUGGUUUAAUUCGAUGCUACACGAAGAACCUUACCAGGGCUUGACAUGCAUGUGGUAGCGAAGCGAAAGCGGAGCGACCCUUCGGGGAGCAUGCACAGGUGCUGCAUGGCUGUCGUCAGCUCGUGUCGUGAGAUGUUCGGUUAAGUCCGCUAACGAGCGCAACCCUCGCCGUGUGUUAUACGUGUCACGCGGGACUGCCAGUCUUAAGCUGGAGGAAGGUGGGGAUGACGUCAAGUCAGCAUGGCCUUUAUGUCCUGGGCUACACACACGCUACAAUGGCCAGUACAAUGGGUAGCGAAGCCGCGAGGCGAAGCCAAUCCUCCAAAGCUGGUCUCAGUUCAGAUUGCAGGCUGCAACCCGCCUGCAUGAAGAUGGAGUUGCUAGUAACCGCAGGUCAGCUAUACUGCGGUGAAUACGUUCCCGGGCCUU
rnacentral:rRNA from 1 species